rnacentral:rRNA from 1 species
UGCUGGAGGUAUCAGAAGUGCGAAUGCUGACAUAAGUAACGAUAAAGCGGGUGAAAAGCCCGCUCGCCGGAAGACCAAGGGUUCCUGUCCAACGUUAAUCGGGGCAGGGUGAGUCGACCCCUAAGGCGAGGCCGAAAGGCGUAGUCGAUGGGAAACGGGUUAAUAUUCCCGUACUUGGUGUUACUGCGAAGGGGGGACGGAGAAGGCUAUGUUGGCCGGGCGACGGUUGUCCCGGUUUAAGCGUGUAGGUGUGUGUUCCAGGUAAAUCCGGUUCACUUUAACACUGAGGCGUGACGACGAGGCACUACGGUGCUGAAGCAACAAAUGCCCUGCUUCCAGGAAAAGCCUCUAAGCAUCAGGUAACAUCAAAUCGUACCCCAAACCGACACAGGUGGUCAGGUAGAGAAUACCAAGGCGCUUGAGAGAACUCGGGUGAAGGAACUAGGCAAAAUGGUGCCGUAACUUCGGGAGAAGGCACGCUGACAUGUAGGUGAAGUGAUUUACUCAUGGAGCUGAAGUCAGUCGAAGAUACCAGCUGGCUGCAACUGUUUAUUAAAAACACAGCACUGUGCAAACACGAAAGUGGACGUAUACGGUGUGACGCCUGCCCGGUGCCGGAAGGUUAAUUGAUGGGGUCAGCGCAAGCGAAGCUCCUGAUCGAAGCCCCGGUAAACGGCGGCCGUAACUAUAACGGUCCUAAGGUAGCGAAAUUCCUUGUCGGGUAAGUUCCGACCUGCACGAAUGGCGUAAUGAUGGCCAGGCUGUCUCCACCCGAGACUCAGUGAAAUUGAACUCGCUGUGAAGAUGCAGUGUACCCGCGGCAAGACGGAAAGACCCCGUGAACCUUUACUAUAGCUUGACACUGAACAUUGAGCCUUGAUGUGUAGGAUAGGUGGGAGGCUUUGAAGUGUGGACGCCAGUCUGCAUGGAGCCGACCUUGAAAUACCACCCUUUAAUGUUUGAUGUUCUAACGUGGACCCGUAAUCCGGGUUGCGGACAGUGUCUGGUGGGUAGUUUGACUGGGGCGGUCUCCUCCUAAAGAGUAACGGAGGAGCACGAAGGUUGGCUAAUCCUGGUCGGACAUCAGGAGGUUAGUGCAAUGGCAUAAGCCAGCUUGACUGCGAGCGUGACGGCGCGAGCAGGUGCGAAAGCAGGUCAUAGUGAUCCGGUGGUUCUGAAUGGAAGGGCCAUCGCUCAACGGAUAAAAGGUACUCCGGGGAUAACAGGCUGAUACCGCCCAAGAGUUCAUAUCGACGGCGGUGUUUGGCACCUCGAUGUCGGCUCAUCACAUCCUGGGGCUGAAGUAGGUCCCAAGGGUAUGGCUGUUCGCCAUUUAAAGUGGUACGCGAGCUGGGUUUAGAACGUCGUGAGACAGUUCGGUCCCUAUCUGCCGUGGGCGCUGGAGAACUGAGGGGGGCUGCUCCUAGUACGAGAGGACCGGAGUGGACGCAUCACUGGUGUUCGGGUUGUCAUGCCAAUGGCACUGCCCGGUAGCUAAAUGCGGAAGAGAUAAGUGCUGAAAGCAUCUAAGCACGAAACUUGCCCCGAGAUGAGUUCUCCCUGAGACUU